rnacentral:rRNA from 1 species
UACAGAGGGUGCGAGCGUUGUUCGGAAUUACUGGGCGUAAAGCGCGCGCAGGCGGCUUUCUAAGUCUGUCGGUCAAACGCCGGGGCUCGAACCCCGUGCUCGCCGGGAGAUACUGGGAGGCUGGAGACAGGUAGAGGCAAGCGGAAUUCCGGGUGUAGCGGUGGAAUGCGUAGAGAUCCGGAAGAACACCGGUGGCGAAGGCGGCCCG